AGAGUUUGAUCCUGGCUCAGAACGAACGCUGGCGGCAGGCUUAACACAUGCAAGUCGAACGCCCCGCAAGGGGAGUGGCAGACGGGUGAGUAACGCGUGGGAAUCUACCCAGUUCUACGGAACAACAGUUGGAAACGACUGCUAAUACCGUAUACGCCCUACGGGGGAAAGAUUUAUCGGAAUUGGAUGAGCCCGCGUAAGAUUAGCUAGUUGGUGAGGUAAUGGCUCACCAAGGCGACGAUCUUUAGCUGGUCUGAGAGGAUGAUCAGCCACACUGGGACUGAGACACGGCCCAGACUCCUACGGGAGGCAGCAGUGGGGAAUAUUGGACAAUGGGCGCAAGCCUGAUCCAGCCAUGCCGCGUGAGUGAUGAAGGCCUUAGGGUUGUAAAGCUCUUUCAGUGGGGAAGAUAAUGACGGUACCCACAGAAGAAGCCCCGGCUAACUUCGUA
rnacentral:rRNA from 1 species